rnacentral:rRNA from 1 species
CCUACGGGUGGCAGCAGUGAGGAAUAUUGGUCAAUGGCCGGAAGCCUGAACCAGCCAAGCCGCGUGAGGGACGAAGGUGCCACGCAUUGUAAACUUCUUUUGUCAAGGGACAAAAUCAGGCUCUAGAGCCCGACCGAGGGUACCUGAAGAAAAAGCAUCGGCUAACUCCGUGCCAGCAGCCGCGGUAAUACGGAGGAUGCGAGCGUUAUCCGGAUUUAUUGGGUUUAAAGGGUGCGUAGGCGGGCUGUUAAGUCAGCGGUAAAAGCCCGGGGCUCAACCCCGGCGAGCCGUUGAAACUGGCUGUCUUGAGAUGGCGAGAGGUAUGCGGAAUGCGCAGUGUAGCGGUGAAAUGCUUAGAUAUUGCGCAGAACCCCGAUUGCGAAGGCAGCAUACCGGCGCCGAUCUGACGCUGAGGCACGAAAGCGUGGGUAUCGAACAGGAUUAGAUACCCGGGUAGUC